rnacentral:rRNA from 1 species
GACGAACGCUGGCGGCGUGCUUAACACAUGCAAGUGGAGCGACGAACCAGGGCUUGCCCUGGGGCAGAGCCGCGAACGGGUGAGUAACACGUGGGUAACGUGCCCCGAUGAUCGGGACAACCCGGGGAAACCCGGGCUAAUACCGAAUGUGCUCCCCUCACACCAGUGAGGGAUGGAAAGGAAGCUUCGGCCUCCGCAUCGGGAUCGGCCCGCGGCCCAUUAGCUUGUUGGUGAGGUAACGGCNCACCAAGGCUGCGAUGGGUAGCUGGUCUGAGAGGACGAUCAGCCACACUGGGACUGAGACACGGCCCAGACUCCUACGGGAGGCAGCAGUGGGGAAUCUCGCGCAAUGCGCGAAAGCGUGACGCAGCAA